UGGUGCACCAUACAGAUACAUGAGAAGAUGUAUAAUGUAUUGUGGUCGCCAUAUUGAUUGUAUAAGAAUUCAGUACGGUAGUUUGGCUCAAAUGAAAAUUCUUCUAAGUCAAAUGGCGAACAUCGUGCUUAUACAUUGAAACUUGAAUCUGGCCAACUAAGCUAAAUAGCUAAAACAGUCUGAAAGAAGGGCACAGUUCAGUUCAUUGCACUACAAACAUAGCGCGGUUCAAUCAUCAGUAGAUCAAGACCGGAUCAAAGUUUGCCUAACUAGCUUCAGUGUAGCAUCACUGUAAUGAUUGAAUAAGCAGCAACCUAAUUUAGAUUGUGAUGCCCUUGUUGACUUGACGAUAGCUGAGUCAUACAAGAAAUCAGGAUACGAGAGAUUACUAAACAAAUAAGAUGGCACUAUAGUAGCAACCAAAUCUGACUGGACAAAUGGUAUGGCUUCAGUACAAGCACUGUUAUAACCAUAAACCUGAGGUCAUUAUGCAGGUGGGUUGGAGCCCAGCAGCUGACGCUCUCAGUCGCACCUUACAGUCCUGAUCCUGUAACUGCGGUGCCUAACAGCCAAGUUAACUACUUGACUUGCUUUAUAAAACCUCCAAAACCUGAUUCUCAGGCUCCCAUAUUUGGUCAGGGUGCGUAACUGGUGCCUACUGUGUCCUGGAACCAGUGUUUGGUUGGGAUGAAAACUGAAAAUCGAAAUGCCAGACAUGUAACUCCUCCACCCCCCAAAUUAUUUCACGCCACCACGUUAUCAUAAGCGUGUCAGGCCCUAGCCCGACCCCACGGCCACUCCCCCAAAUUGCAAUCCCAUCUCCUGAAAUCUGAAGCCCAAAUGGACAGCCGGCGACCGCCAUUACCACCUAGGCGACGUGAUCUGCGGCUUAAGCUACGAUUAAGGGGACUACAUGAACCGACAUUGCUUCCAACCAAACAUCCAUCGAAAUCAAACAGAGCAUCGCUCUCCGCGCGUUCACGGAAACAGAAAUUUCGAUAAAUCGCUAGGAAUCGUGCGACCCAGGAGGAGGAGGAAGGUAAAAUUAUCGGUACCUCUGACGCGUAGGAGGGGAAUUAGGGCGGAACGACCCCGCGGGUUGGUCUGAUCGGACGGGAUCGAGGAACCCUAGAGUUUGGGUUGGGGCUGGCCCGCCGCCGCCGCCGCCUCGUCGCGUCGCUUCGAUCCCCACGCUUGCUCGAGACGGAGGGGAAAAUUUGGCGGCAGGACGAGGACGCAGGCGAGGCUGGU
rnacentral:lncRNA from 1 species